rnacentral:tRNA from 1 species
GGGCGGCUAGCUCAGCUGGUUAGAGCGCCUCUCUGAUAAGGAGGAGGUCUGAGGUUCGAGUCCCUCGUCGCCCACCA